CCAUGGCUGUGAUGAUGAACACUUUAAGAAUACAUGCCAGUUCUGCUUCUGAAAAAUCGUGAUUGGAAAAAUUGUUAAUAUUCAGGUGUGUUGG